GAUGAACGCUGGCGGCGUGCCUAAUACAUGCAAGUCGAGCGAACAGACGAGGAGCUUGCUCCUUUGACGUUAGCGGCGGACGGGUGAGUAACACGUGGAUAACCUACCUAUAAGACUGGGAUAACUUCGGGAAACCGGAGCUAAUACCGGAUAACAUGUUGAACCGCAUGGUUCAACAGUGAAAGACGGUCUUGCUGUCACUUAUAGAUGGAUCCGCGCCGCAUUAGCUAGUUGGUAAGGUAACGGCUUACCAAGGCAACGAUGCGUAGCCGCCCUGAGAGGGUGAUCGGCCACACUGGAACUGAGACACGGUCCAGACUCCUACGGGAGGCAGCAGUAGGGAAUCUUCCGCAAUGGGCGAAAGCCUGACGGAGCAACGCCGCGUGAGUGAAGAAGGUCUUCGGAUCGUAAAACUCUGUUAUUAGGGAAGAACAAAUGUGUAAGUAACUAUGCACGUCUUGACGGUACCUAAUCAGAAAGCCACGGCUAACUACGUG
rnacentral:rRNA from 1 species